UGGGCAACCUGCCCUCAGCUCUGGGAUAACUCCAAGAAAUUGGGGCUAAUACCGGAUAUGACCGCUGACCGCAUGGUCUGGUGGUGGAAAGAUUUAUCGGCUGGGGAUGGGCCCGCGGCCUAUCAGCUUGUUGGUGGGGUGAUGGCCUACCAAGGCGACGACGGGUAGCCGGCCUGAGAGGGUGUCCGGCCACACUGGGACUGAGAUACGGCCCAGACUCCUACGGGA
rnacentral:rRNA from 1 species